UGUUCGUUCGUUCGUUGUCGUUCAGUUAUUUUAUAUGGUCGGUUAUGUGAUGUGUUUUUUGUGUCACCAUAAAAAGCUGAUAUUCAGUCGUGUUUUUUGAUAUUUUUGUUAUUUUGUAAUCGUGUAUCUUUUUAAAGGUCUAAUGGCUCCGUUCAGCUGUUGUGUGCAGACGGUGGAAAAGUUCAACAAGUAAACAUUUAUUUAAUCCAAAUUAAUACUCAUAUUUCUAUGUAAAAUGUCACAUUAUUUUAUAAAUAAAUAAGUAAGAAACAAAAGUUGUUUGUGUUUUACCUUUAUUGUCCAAUUGAAUAAAAUAUUAAAUAUUGGAAGUACCGUAUGGAGGCUACGUACCUAGCAUGGAGGCUAGAUUGUGGCACCCUUCCUAUCCAAUCAACAACAAGAGCGUUUAAAAUUUCACACCUAUCAUGUCGAAGCUACAGACCACUUAUGUGGAGGCCAGAUUUGUAGUAUCCUUCCAUUUAACCAGGUGCUGAGAUGGCGCUGAAAUACGUGACAUGUUUUUUAAAGAGUAAGAUCGCAUUCUACCAAAUCACACAACACUUUUUUCUAUGGUCGGGAACAAUGGAUUAAUGGAUAUGUAAAAGCCAUAAGGAGAACAGAACUAAAAUUAAAAUAUGAAAGAAUAUGCAAUAAACAUUGUAUAAAAGUGGAAAGCCAGCCACUUUAAAAAGAUAUUCCAAACUAAAACAUGGGUUACCAAAGCAGGCAAUAAAAAGAAAAGGUGAUCUAGAAUGCAAGAGAAGAGCUGAUGAAAGAAGUAAAUGUAAAGAAAAUAAUGAAGAGACUUCUCUUGACCAUGAACAAACACCAGCUAUUUUAUAUAUGUAGAAAAAGGAAAAACUGCUGGAACUUUACUUUAAAGGCUUUUGACUAGUGAAGAUUUGGAUAAACAACAGGAGUUACUUUGGGCUAUAGCUACGUGCAAAUUUAUUUUCUUGUGGCUUCCUAUGUUUAUUCUUAUUAACUAUAUCUACACUUUGAUAUGUUUUUAGUCGCAUGAAGAUUUUAUAGUUUAUUAUUUUAUGUAUAUUGUUAUAUUUGUGUUGAAUAAACAUUAUUAUUAUUAUUA